GGGAUGGGCAUUAUAGAGCAACUGGAGCCCAUAUCUUUCACCAACUAUCUAAAGAAAUACCAUAACACCAUUUGUGGCCGUCAUCCGAUUGGAGUGCUGCUAAACGCUGUGGCUGAGCUAAGGAAGGCUGGCUUAGAAAUGAACUUUUCUUUUCUGAACUACGCCCAAUCAAGUGAGUGCAGGAACUGGCACGACAGCUCUGUGAGUUACGCUGCCGGAGCACUCAUCGUUCAUUGAGGUCAAUUUUCGCCAGGGCUGCUGCAGCGCCACCACCCUGCUCUUACUAUCUAUCACCAUAACCUGACCCUGAUCCCUGUCACCGCACCAGAGUUACUCCCACUAGUCGCAGGAAGGACUUUGACACUUGAAGCCAAUACAGUAACCUUUCUCCAGCUCUGCUGCCUUUUUUCCUCCCUUCCCAGCUCUCCACUCAGUUUGAAGUGUGUUCCAGAGCUUUCGAUUGAAACGUUUUGUUUGAAGUGCAGUUUACAGAUUACGUUAAAACAGUGAAAAAAGAUGGAAGCAGUGUGUAUUAUUUUGGCUUGGAGUACAUGUGGGGGAGCAUCUUGUUUGGGUUAUUAUAGGAUUGUAGUCCUUUUAGUCCCACCCAAGUUUUAUUUAUUUAUUUAUUCCCUGACACCCUCACGCCCUAAAGACCUUGGCUACGAGUUGUAACAAUACAAUCUUAUAUUUGGAGUCGUGGCAAUCUGUGCUCUUGCAAUUUGCCUCAGAAAAGGAUUGAAAAUAAAACUGCAGCUCUGAAUGGUUUCCGACAUGUUUACAUGUUGCCAGAUGAAUCUGGAUUGCUUCAAGAUACAUCCAACUUCAGUUUUGAGAACUUUCAUAGGUAGCUGCCACCACUGCUCAACAUAUGUUGUAGUUGCUAACAAAGGGCUGCACCCAACAAAGUUAACUAACCCCUACUGUUCAAAACCAAAAA